rnacentral:rRNA from 1 species
GAUGAACGCUGGCGGCGUGCCUAAUACAUGCAAGUCGAGCGAACAGAUGAGGAGCUUGCUCCUCUGACGUUAGCGGCGGACGGGUGAGUAACACGUGGAUAACCUACCUAUAAGACUGGGAUAACUUCGGGAAACCGGAGCUAAUACCGGAUAAUAUAUUGAACCGCAUGGUUCAAUAGUGAAAGACGGUUUUGCUGUCACUUACAGAUGGAUCCGCGCCGCAUUAGCUAGUUGGUAAGGUAACGGCUUACCAAGGCAACGAUGCGUAGCCGACCUGAGAGGGUGAUCGGCCACACUGGAACUGAGACACGGUCCAGACUCCUACGGGAGGCAGCAGUAGGGAAUCUUCCGCAAUGGGCGAAAGCCUGACGGAGCAACGCCGCGUGAGUGAUGAAGGUCUUCGGAUCGUAAAACUCUGUUAUUAGGGAAGAACAAAUGUGUAAGUAACUAUGCACGUCUUGACGGUACCUAAUCAGAAAGCCACGGCUAACUACGU